GCAACUGCGUGACAUCAUGGGAUUCCGCUGCAGCCAUAUCUGCCCAUUCUGCCUGAAGGUGGAGGAUGACAGAGAGCUCACCGCAGAGGAGGAAGAGGAGGCGUUGAGAGGAAGCCCUCCCACCACCACCACCUCUUCAUCAUUUUCUCUCAAUGGAAAGCUCCAACUGACUGUUAUCUCCUAUAACAAAAGGGAUUAAAGUCAAGUUAUGAAGAGAGGGGGAAACAAUUGCAAUCACACAGCAAGAGCUGAUACUCUGCUCUGCUCACUGCAGUCGUUUUAUUUUGAAAGGACGUGGAGAAAAUGUCACGAUUGCUGCAUUCCAGCUUCUGCCUGCCUGCAAACGGCUGCAGUUUCUGACCCACAUACAGGCUAUGAAACGCAUGAUAAAAAGAAAAGAAAAAUACCAAUUGUGCAUACACAUUACCUCUAUCUAAUCCAUGCAAUUUGCAAAAAUAUCCAUUAUCGGUGGCUGAUGAGGUCAAGGUUAUAAUGGUGACUUGGUACGGCAGAAUUAUAUAAAUUCAGAUAAAUCACACACGACAUCAUGCUCGUCUAAGCCGAAGCAAUGAUCAGUCCAGCUGUCGUAGAUGUGGUCCGCUAACCCGAUCUGCACCUGUGCUGUGUUUAUCCACCACUUUCCUGCUUCAGCACUAUUCAGCCAAUUGAACUCUGCGGAUGGGAAGGACCAAUAGCCGGUGAGCAGGGAGACGAGAGAUUGAGAUCACUCCAUCUGUACAGUAGACGUCAUUAAACAGCAGAUGGAAAACUGAAAUAAUAAAUUCCAAAGCCGUCAAGGUCAGGUACAGAUUAUAUUGCUCUCAGACUCUCCACCUGCAGACUUUAUCUCAUGCAGGUAGCAAAGAUCAGACCAGAUACUGGUCUAAUGUUGCUUGCUUCACAAAGUGUCUGCGAUCAGUCGCGCUGCUCUGAUUGGACGAUCCACUGCAGAUCAGUUGCAGGAAGUUAAGAUGGCAUUUUUAUUAUUUAUGUAGAUUGUGUAAUCCUGGCUCAUAUCACAAACUGUGCAAGUCUUAUCAUUCCUAAACAUGCUUGGUGUUUUGCAUAUCUGUAAUUAUUCAUGUUAUAGUUAUAUAAUAGUCGUGCAAUAUUCCGGUUUUACUGGUUUUAUCUGUUGUAUCACUUUCCUUCAAAUCCUUGUUUCCAGUCCUGGCUCCACAAUGGUGGAACGAGCUCCCCACUCACAUCAUCAGAAACCCUACACAUCUUCCGUUGAAAACUCAGCUGUUCAUGUUGCAUCUUUGCCCCU